rnacentral:rRNA from 1 species
UGCGGAGGAUCAUUAACGAAUAUAAUUCGAGGGGUUGUCGCUGGCCUCGCUCGCGCGAGGCAUGUGCACGCUUCUCGUUUUUCUCUCAACUCACCUGUGCACCUAAUGUAGGAUGCCUCUCCUCCGGGAGGGGGGACCUAUGUCUUCGUAACAUCUUCGUGUAGAAAGUCUUUGAAUGUUUACUAUCAUCGAGUCGCGACUUCUAGGAGACGCGGUUCUUUGAGAUAAAAGUUAUUACAACUUUCAGCAACGGAUCUCUUGGCUCUCGCAUCGAUGAAGAACGCAGCGAAAAGCGAUAUGUAAUGUGAAUUGCAGAUCUACAGUGAAUCAUCGAAUCUUUGAACGCACCUUGCGCUCCUCGGUGUUCCGAGGAGCAUGCCUGUUUGAGUGUCAGUAAAUUCUCAACCCCUCUCGAUUAGCUUCGAGAGGGCGCUUGGAUAGUGGAGGUUGCCGGAGACUUGGAUUCGUCCGAGACUCGGGCUCUUCUGAAAUGCAUCGGCUUGCGGUCGACUUUCGACUAUGUGCGACAAGGCUUUCGGCGUGAUAAUGAUCGCCGUUCGCUGAAGCGCAUGACUGAACGUCCCGUGCCUCUAAUACGUCGACCGCUUAUUAUCUCUCCGGAGAGAACAGGGUCUUCCUUAUUGACUUUUGACCUCAAAUCAGGUAGGACUACCCGCUGAACUUAAGC